AAUGAACGCUGGCGGCGUGGAUUAGGCAUGCAAGUCGAACGCCAAAGCAGGGGCAACUCUGCGAGUAGCGUGGCGAAAGGGUGAGUAAUGCUUGGAUGACCUGCCUUCGAGACGGGGACAACAGUUCGAAAGGACUGCUAAUACCCGAUGGUCCGUUCCGGAUUCGUCCGGGCCGGUAAAUGGUUGAUUCCGCUCGAUGAGGGGUCCAAGUCCUAUCAGCUAGUUGGUGAGGUAACGGCUCACCAAGGCUUUGACGGGUAGGCGGACUGAGAGGUCGACCGCCCACAUCGGGACUGAGACACUGCCCGGACUCCUACGGGAGGCUGCAGUCGAGAAUCUUCUGCAAUGGGCGCAAGCCUGACAGAGCGACGCCGCGUGGAGGACGAAGGCCCUCGGGUUGUAAACUCCUGUCACACGUUAUGAAAUGUACGGGUUACACCCGUGCACUGACAAAGGCGUGGGAGGAAGUCACGGCUAACUUCGUGCCAGCAGCCGCGGUAAGACGAAGGUGGCUAGCGUUAUUCGGAUUCACUGGGCAUAAAGCGCGCGUAGGCGGCUCUUCAAGUCGGUGGUGAAAGCCCGCAGCUCAACUGCGGAACAGCCGUCGAUACUGUCGAGCUUGAGUGCAGGAGGGGUGAUCGGAACUCCAGGUGUAGCGGUGAAAUGCGUAGAUAUCUGGAGGAACACCGGAGGCGAAGGCGGAUCACUGGACUGCCACUGACGCUGAGGCGCGAAAGCUAGGGGAGCAAACAGGAUUAGAUACCCUGGUAGUCCUAGCUGUAAACGAUGGGUACUAGGCAGCGGGGGCCCGAUGCUCUCGCUGUCGAAGCGAAUGUGCUAAGUACCCCGCCUGGGGAGUACGGCCGCAAGGCUG
rnacentral:rRNA from 1 species